AUUUGGUUUAUUUCUUUAAAGAAGUCAGGUGGUCAAAGAAGAAUGACAAAUUCGUGACUUCCAUGAUGGAAGAGAAAUAUAAUGAGUUGGUAGCUAAGAUGGUAGAGCUGGAGCCUGAGAAGCAGACUAAGGAGGCUGCAACAACAAUAUUUAAGGAAGUUUUGGGCCACAGGCCAAGGUAUGUAUGGGGUCUCGACGAGAUGGUUAUUCCCGAGUCAUCUAGACAAUCAACUAAUGCCCAAAUAGCAUAAUCAACUAAACAUACAGAAAAAAGUGAGAAAGAAGCUGCACAUUAUAAGGCUCUACAUGAUGACUUACGAGCAAAUGACAUGCUAGUAAUGAAGAAACAAGGUGAGUACGACAAGUUUAUGGAGAGAUAUGAGUUAGAGAGGCAGACCCAGGGAGUCUCAUACAGAGACUCAGGGACCUGCAUAGCCGAUUAGUAAAUUUGGGGGUAAUAAUUUUUUGUGAAUUUUGGUAAGAAUAUGAAAAUUAAAAUAAUAUAGCAACAAAAUGUCUCUCAUAUCUCUAGAACCUCCUCUUUUGUACAUCAGUUACUAGUGUGGGAUAGGUAGUAUAUUUUUUGGUUGUGGGGAUAUUUUGUAGCUUCUAUCUUGCGAUGUACGUUGCUCUUGCCACCAACAUGCACGUUGGAA